UUCGGCUGCAACGGGGAGAAAAGAUACAGAACAAGGAGUGAGACUUGCUCACAUAGAGACAGCGGAGAAACCAACACAACCCGACAGAGAGAGGAAAAAAGGUGGAGGUCAGGGAGAAACAAACGGAGUGAGUGAGUGAGGUCAGGGAGAAACAACCGGAGUGAGAGAGUGAGGUCAGGGAGAAACAAACGGAGUGAGAGAGUGAGGUCAGGGAGAAACAAACGGAGUGAGGUCAGGGAGAAACAACCGGAGUGAGAGAGUGAGCUCAGGGAGAAACAAACGGAGUGAGAGAGUGAGGUCAGGGAGAAACAAACGGAGUGAGAGAGUGAGGUCAGGGAGAAACAAACGGAGUGAGAGAGUGAGGUCAGGGAGAAACAAACGGAGUGAGGUCAGGGAGAAACAA